UGGUGUUAAUUGCCAAUAUUCGUAACCAAAUGGGGUACACGCCCUCUUACCGUAAGGCUUGGAUAGCUAAGCAGAAGGCGUUGGAGAAGAUACAUAGUGGGUGGGACGCCUCAUAUAAUCAUACCGAUGAUCGGUAUGUAUUUUGGCACGCACGUUAACUCUGGAACGAUGAUCGGUUGUCGAGCAGGUAUAUAAUCAUACCGAUCUUCCCUCAUUUAGAUGUAGUACGACCAGAAUCUCUGCCAAUCCGUAUGCAAUUACCGUAGGUCGAUUUUGUGGUGAUCAUCAAACACCUCAAGUGCCACGGGAAUCGGUUGUCUACAUCCAAAUUGUCGUAACACUCUAUCUGACUGGUGCAUCUCCACGGUCGCAUGGUUGAUCAAUGCGACUUUCACCUGCCAAGCGUUUUAAUUUUGGAAGUACUCAUCCGGAAUUACUGCCCGAAUUGCC
rnacentral:lncRNA from 1 species